rnacentral:rRNA from 1 species
ACGAACGCUGGCGGCGUGCCUAACACAUGCAAGUCGAGCGGAGACAGGGAGUAGCUUGCUAUGAACUGUUUUAGCGGCGGACGGGUGAGUAACGCGUGAGCAACCUUUCCCAGACAGGGGAAUAACACACCGAAAGGUGUACUAAUACCGCAUAAGACCACGGGAUCACAUGGUUCUGGGGUAAAAGAUUUAUCGGUUUGGGGUGGGCUCGCGUCCGAUUAGGUAGUUGGUGAGGUAACGGCCCACCAAGCCGACGAUCGGUAGCCGACCUGAGAGGGUGAUCGGCCACAUUGGGACUGAGACACGGCCCAAACUCCUACGGGAGGCAGCAGUGGGGAAUAUUGGGCAAUGGGGGGAACCCUGACCCAGCAACGCCGCGUGGAGGAAGAAGGUUUUCGGAUCGUAAACUCCUGUCCUUGGAGACGAGUAGAAGACGGUAUCCAAGGAGGAAGCCCCGGCUAACUACGUGCCAGCAGCCGCGGUAAUACGUAGGGGGCAAGCGUUGUCCGGAAUAAUUGGGCGUAAAGGGCGCGUAGGCGGCUCGGUAAGUCUGGAGUGAAAGUCCUGCUUUUAAGGUGGGAAUUGCUUUGGAUACUGUCGGGCUUGAGUGCAGGAGAGGUUAGUGGAAUUCCCAGUGUAGCGGUGAAAUGCGUAGAGAUUGGGAGGAACACCAGUGGCGAAGGCGCCUUUCUGGACUGUGUCUGACGCUGAGAUGCGAAAGCCAGGGUAGCGAACGGGAUUAGAUACCCCGGUAGUCCUGGCCGUAAACGAUGGGUACUAGGUGUAGGAGGUAUCGACCCCUUCUGUGCCGGAGUUAACGCAAUAAGUACCCCGCCUGGGGAGUACGUCCGCAAGGAUGAAACUCAAAGGAAUUGACGGGGGCCCGCACAAGCAGCGGAGCAUGUGGUUUAAUUCGACGCAACGCGAAGAACCUUACCAGGUCUUGACAUCCUACUAACGAGAUAGAGAUAUGUUAGGUGCCCUUCGGGGAAAGUAGAGACAGGUGGUGCAUGGUUGUCGUCAGCUCGUGUCGUGAGAUGUUGGGUUAAGUCCCGCAACGAGCGCAACCCUUGUGAUUAGUUGCUACGCAAGAGCACUCUAAUCAGACUGCCGUUGACAAAACGGAGGAAGGUGGGGACGACGUCAAAUCAUCAUGCCCCUUAUGACCUGGGCUACACACGUGCUACAAUGGCCACGACAGAGAGAAGCGAAAUCGCAAGGUAGAGCGGAACUCAAAAAAGUGGUCCCAGUUCGGAUUGUGGGCUGCAACCCGCCCACAUGAAGUCGGAGUUGCUAGUAAUCGCGGAUCAGCAUGCCGCGGUGAAUACGUUCCCGGGCCUUGUACACACCGCCCGUCACACCAUGGGAGUUGGGAGUGCCCAAAGCCGGUGAGGCAACCGCAAGGAGCCAGCCGUCUAAGGCAAGACCAAUGACUGGGGUG